rnacentral:rRNA from 1 species
UGAGAGGAGUAGCCCGGAGAUGGGUACUGAGACACGGACCCAGGCCCUAUGGGGCGCAGCAGGCGAGAAAACUUUGCAAUGUGCGAAAGCACGACAAGGUUAAUCCGAGUGAUUUCUGCUAAAGGAAUCUUUUGUCAGUCCUAGAAACACUGUUGAAUAAGGGGUGGGCAAGUUCUGGUGUCAGCCGCCGCGGUAAAACCGGCACCUCAAGUGGUCAGGAUGAUUAUUGGGCCUAAAGCAUCCGUAGCCUGCUUUGUAAGUUUUCGGUUAAAUCCAUACGCUCAACGUAUGGGCUGCCGGAAAUACUGCAAAGCUAGGGAGUGGGAGAGGUAGACGGUACUCGGGAGGAAGGGGUAAAAUCCUUUGAUCUCUCGAUGACCACCUGUGGCGAAGGCGGUCUACCAGAACACGUCCGACGGCGAGGGAUGAAAGCUGGGGGAGCAAACCGGAUUAGAUACCCGGGUAGUCCCAGCUGUAAACUAUGCAAACUCAGUGAUGCNUUGGCUUGAUGCCAAUGCNGUGUUGCAGGGAAGCCGUUAAGUUUGCCGCCUGGGAAGUACGUACGCAAGUAUGAAACUUAAAGGAAUUGGCGGGGGA